rnacentral:lncRNA from 1 species
UGUUUUUUUUUUUUUAUUAAAGAUUUUAUUUUUUAAAAAUCUGUGCACCCAGUGUGGGGCUUGAACUCACCACACCAAGAUCAAGAGUCAGGUUCUACUGACUGAACCAGCCAGGCACCCCUCAGUGUGGUUUUGAUUUGCAUUUCCCAUAUGGCUAAUGAUAUGAAUUAUCUUUAAAUGCACUUGGUCAUUUGUAUGACCUCUUUGACGAAAUUAUUCAGAUCUUUUACCCAUUUUUAAAUUGGAUUACUUUUCUUUUUAUUGAGAUAUAGAAGUUGUUUAUAUGUUCUACAUACAGGCCCUUUAUCAGAAAUAUUAUUUGCAAAAAAGAAAAAGAAACAAAGGUUCCCACUCUGUGGAUUUUAUUUUCACUUUUUCAUGGUGUCCUUUGAAGCACAAAUUUUCCAUUUUGAUGAUGUCUGACGUAGCUCAUUUGUUUUUGCUGUCUAUGCUUUCAUGUUAUAUCUAAGGAACUACUGCCUGCCAAAGUCAUGAAGAUUUACUCCUGUUUUUCUUUUCUUUUUUUUUUAAAGAUUUUAUUUAUUUAUUCAUGAGAGACAGAGAGAGAGACAGAAACACAGGCAGAGGGAGAAGCAGGCUCCACGCAGGGAGCCCGAUGUGGGGACUCGAUCCUGGGACUCCAGGAUCACAUGCCCUGGGUUGAAGGUGGCGCUAAACCACUGAGCCACCCAGGCUGCCCCUACUCCUGUUUUUCUUCUAAGAAUUUAAAUAGUUUUAGGUGUUACAUUUAGUACUUUGAUUCAUUUUGAGGUAAUUUUUGUGUAUGGUGAAGUAAGGGUCCCACGUCAUUCUGUUGCAUGUGGAUAUCCAGUUUCACUUGUUCUCAGCUCCAUUUCUUAAACUAUUCUUUCUUCAUUCACUUCUCUUGACACCCUUAUCAAAAAUCAACUGAUCAUAGAAGUGAAGGUUUAUUUCUGGAUUCUGGGUCCUGAUUCUAGCCUGUUGAUGUACACAUCUAUUGUUAUGCUGGCACCAUGCUGUCCCAGUUACCUUUAAUUUAAAAUCCAGAAAAGUGAGUCCUCCAAUUUGUUCUCUUUCAUGACUUUUGGACUACUUGAGUCCCCUGUGCUUCCACGUGCAUUUUAGGAGCAGCUUGUCAAUUUCUGCAAAACAGCCAGUUGGGGUCUUGCCAUCUUAAUAUUGAGUCUUCUGAUCCAUGAACAUGUGAUGUCUUUCUAUUUAUGUCUUCUCUCAUUUCUUUCAAUAAUGCUUUGUUUUGCAUUUUUUAAAUUAAAUUUAUUCCUAGGUAUUUUAUUUUUGAUCCUAAUGUCAAUGAAAUGUUUACAUUUUUGUUCAUUGCUACUGUAUAGAAAUACAUUUGAUCGUGUAUCUUUCAAGCUUGCUAAACCCAUUUAUUAGUUUCAAUAGGUUUUUAGUGGAUUCCUUGGGAUUUCCUACAAAUGCAAAUAGAGAUACCCAAAUAGAGAUAGUUUUACUUCUUUCUAAUCCAAGUGCCUUUUAUUGGAUUUUCUUGUCUUAAUGCUCUGGCUAGAACCUUUAAUAAAUUGUUAAAUAGAAGUGGUGAGAAUGGACAUCCUUGCCUUGUUCCUGUUAACUUAUAAGGCCUGGAAGAUAGUCUGCAAAAAUGAAAAUGUUCGGACUGUGGUGUAGUUUUUUUUUAAUAGCAUACAUUAAAAUUUAUACAUUUUGAUAAUUUAUAUACACAUAUCUCAUAAAAUACAUGUAAUGUCCUCUGGGGGUAGAUGUCAUGAUCCUUGAGUGAAAAUCUACCUUUGUUACCUAAAAUAAAUAUAUAGUGGGGGUAUUUCUGUCUGCAGGCUGUUUUAGGACUUAAACAUCUUUUAUAUUUUGUCCUACAACAGCCCUGGAGUGCAGAUUUGACCUUCAGUAUCACAGGUGGGGAAACUGACUCGCAGUAACUAAGUUUUAUAGCAUUGGUGAGCAGUGCUAAACCGCUGAGCCACCAGGGCUGCCCCCAAUAAAACCUAAAAAAAUAAAAAAUAAAUAAAAGCCCGAAAACUAAGAAAAAAAACAAAAAACAAAAAGCCCAUGUUUUUCUCAUUCUUCCAUGCUGUUUUUUCAAGUUUAUGGCAAAAGCUUUCCCCUUUAGAAAACUCUGUUACCAAUAAAUGUGUUGUGUGGGGCUCAUCUAGAAUAUUGAAAUAUAAUCAAAGUAUCAAAAAAAACCACAUGUUAUAAUUUUUGGCUUUUUAAAAUCACUGUUUAUUCCAUUUGGUAGAGGGUUUUUUUUUUUCCAUACAAAUAUUUGCAACAAUUUUGAAUUCCCCAAAACCAUACAUAGACGAUAAAUACCAUGCUAUUAAAGUAUUAAAUUUGUACAAAAAUACUUUACAGCUUAAUACUUGUUUGUUACAAAUAAAAAUACAUAUUUAAGUGA